UGACCCUUAUUAAGCCGAGGGUCACCUAGCCAACUGACGUUGUUAGUGAAUACACAUUGUUCACAGAUAUAUACCGCCAAUCACCUUUAUUGUGAUUGGCGUUUUUUCU
rnacentral:sRNA from 1 species